rnacentral:rRNA from 1 species
UACGGGGGGGGUAAGCGUUGUUCGGAAUUACUGGGCGUAAAGGGCUCGUAGGCGGCCAACUAAGUCAGACGUGAAAUCCCUCAGCUUAACUGGGGAACUGCGUCUGAUACUGGAUGGCUUGGAUUCGGGAGAGGAAUGCGGAAUUCCAGGUGUAGCGGUGAAAUGCGUAGAUAUCUGGAGGAACACCGGUGGCGAAGGCGGCUUCCUGGACCGACACUGACGCUGAGGCGCGAAAGCCAGGGGAGCAAACGGG